GAUGAACGCUGGCGGCGUGCCUAAUACAUGCAAGUCGAGCGAACAGACGAGGAGCUUGCUCCUCUGACGUUAGCGGCGGACGGGUGAGUAACACGUGGAUAACCUACCUAUAAGACUGGGAUAACUUCGGGAAACCGGAGCUAAUACCGGAUAACAUGUUGAACCGCAUGGUUCAACAGUGAAAGACGGUUUUGCUGUCACUUAUAGAUGGAUCCGCGUCGCAUUAGCUAGUUGGUAAGGUAACGGCUUACCAAGGCAACGAUGCGUAGCCGACCUGAGAGGGUGAUCGGCCACACUGGAACUGAGACACGGUCCAGACUCCUACGGGAGGCAGCAGUAGGGAAUCUUCCGCAAUGGGCGAAAGCCUGACGGAGCAACGCCGCGUGAGUGAAGAAGGUCUUCGGAUCGUAAAACUCUGUUAUUAGGGAAGAACAAAUGUGUAAGUAACUAUGCACGUCUUGACGGUACCUAAUCAGAAGGCCACGGCUAACUACGU
rnacentral:rRNA from 1 species